CCACGGGAUAACCCGUUGAAAGACGGCCUAAUACCGUAUGACGUCGUUUGCCGACAUCGAAAGACGACCAAGGUUGGCGGUGAUGGAUGGGGAUGCGUCUGAUUAGCUUGGUUGGCGGGUAACGGCCCACCAAGGCGACGAUCAGUAGGGGUUCUGAGAGGAAGGUCCCCCACAUUGGAACUGAGACACGGUCCAAACUCCUACGGGAGGCAGCAGUGAGGAAUAUUGGUCAAUGGGCGAGAGCCUGAACCAGCCAAGUAGCGUGCAGGAUGACGGCCCUAUGGGUUGUAAACUGCUUUUACGCGGGGAUAAAGUGCGUGACGUGUCUCGCAUUGCAGGUACCGCGUGAAUAAGGACCGGCUAAUUCCGUGCCAGCAGCCGCGGUAAAU
rnacentral:rRNA from 1 species